UCCGGGCAGGGGUGCGGACCGAGAGCGGGCGGUGCGCGCUGGGGCUCGGCUAGCGACGGGCGGCCUUGGGGACGGGGCUCUCCGGAGAGGACGGAACGCGCGGGCAGCGACAGGAGAAAUCAGAAGGACAUUUCCUGGCAGUUACAACUGUCUGAAGGGCCUGACGAUUCAAGGAAAAAGCAAGCGGUUGUUUCCUGCUGAAAUGGCAAUGCAUUUUUAAACACAGACUUGCAGCUCUAAAUUCAGGUAGAGCCACUGAGCAGGCAUAACACAUGAUCUGUUGCAGUUUUCUGAAUGAUCAUUUCUGAAGCCAGAGAAGUUCAGUCCUACUGGUGGAGAAGUAACCGAGGCCUGAUAAGAAAGCCAUCAAUACCAUAUUAUCUGAAAUGUAAAAAGUUAUGCCCAAAUGUGAAGAGUCCUAGAUUGUACUGAUUUUUCUGUGUAUAUCCAUGUAAAUCUCUUCCCUCAUGUAAUUCUGUUUUACUACAGGAUUCAACUCAUUACAAACCCCAGAUAACAUUUUUAUUUAAAGACAUUAAUUUAUU